CAGUCGCCACGGGAAUACGAAGGGGGCUAGCGUUGUUCGGAAUUACUGGGCGUAAAGCGCACGUAGGCGGAUAUUUAAGUCAGGGGUGAAAUCCCAGAGCUCAACUCUGGAACUGCCUUUGAUACUGGGUAUCUUGAGUAUGGAAGAGGUGAGUGGAAUUCCGAGUGUAGAGGUGAAAUUCGUAGAUAUUCGGAGGAACACCAGUGGCGAAGGCGGCUCACUGGUCCAUUACUGACGCUGAGGUGCGAAAGCGUGGGGAGCAAACAGGAUUAGAUACCCCUGUAGUCCCUGUCUCUUCUAC
rnacentral:rRNA from 1 species